rnacentral:rRNA from 1 species
UUUGCUUUAAAGUUGUUGCGUUUAAAACGCUCGUAGUUGGAUCACGCAACGGUGUACGGUAAUCUAUUCACUAGUUCAGAAUGUUCGCAGUGUGAAUCGAAAGAUUAGACUAGGACUCUGUUCUGUGAUAGAUAUAAAAGCUGACCACCGUUAAUUGCACGUGAGAUGGAUUGUUGACCUUUAGUGAGUCGGUAAUCCUGUCUUGCGGAGUGUGCCUUGAAUAAAACAGAGUGCUUAAAGCAGGUUUACGCCUGAAUGUUAUAGCAUGGAACGAACAAUAGUGAUCACGUACGUGAUUUUUAAUAGCAAUAGGCCUAUGGUUUGUUGCUGUUGGAGUCGCGUACAUCACCCACCAAAAUAUGGCUGUUGGUUCCAUAUACGGUGAUGAUUAAAAGGAGCGGUUGGGGGCAUCGGUAUUUGGCCGCGAGAGGUGAAAUUCUUGGACCGGCCAAGGACUAACAAAUGCAAAGGCACUUGUCUAGACCGUUUCCAUUAAUCAAGAACGAAAGUGGGAGGUUCGAAGACGAUCAGAUACCGUCCUAGUUCCCACUGUAAACUAUGCCGACCUGGGAUCAGUUUAGAGAUGCUACAAGCUCUAAAUUGGUCCCCCUGGGAAACCUCAAGUUUUUCGGUUACGGGGAGAGUAUGGUCGCAAGGCUGAAACUUAAAGGAAUUGACGGAAGGGCACCACCAGGGGUGGAGCCUGCGGCUUAAUUUGAC